CAAUGAAAUGCUCCGGAUCCCGUCUUCCCAGAUGCUGAAUGCAGUUUAAAGGAUGCUCGCAUCAGACCCGGCGUCAGCCUCCGUCUGUAGGUGCCAGCGCUCACUUCCCACCGGUCUCUUGUGGUUGACUUCUGCUGAGCGUGUAGCCGACUGACACAGAUUUGCACAAAUCACUUACAAAUGAAAAGUUUUCCCAGCGUGACCUUAGACAGAUAAGCGCUUUGAUUUAGAAGUCGGUGAACGCCCUCGACUUUUACAUCCCUUCGUCUGUCGCGGCCUUCCCCCACUUUUUUCCAUCCCCGCCGUUGCGUCUCCUGUGACUCACACCAGCAGACGCACACAACUCACACACCACCCGGCCCCUCGUAAACGCAGUACGUCUGCUACUUAUUACAAGGCAGUUAUGCUCGGCGGCAGCAUCGACAGCUCAGGGAACAGAUUCCGUGCUGCACAAAAGCUGCUACUGCUGUGACGGAACCCGGGGUUGUUAGUGUGUGUGUGCGUGUGUGUGUGUGUGUGGCGCUUUAUGAAUCCAUACCUGCCUGCGGUCAAUAAUGCAAAAGAGAGAGAGAGAGAGCAAUGGACCGGGCCCCAGAGGACUGCGGUUAACGGGGCCUUCUCGCUGUUAGCAAACAGUUACUCUAUUACGAACCAUCCGUCCUCAUUUAAUGCCAACUGCAGAUAUUACAUUUGCAUAACUGGUGUCACAACACGGACAAGCACCCGGGUAAAAUAAACCCAAUGAGUAACAACGUCUGGUCACACCGAGGUCGGAAAUACACGAUUCAACGUGUGCUUGUGUGUGUGUGUGUGUGUGUGUGUGUGUGUGUGUGUGUGUGUGUGUGUGUGUGUGUGUGUGUGUGUGUGUGUGUGUGUGUGUGUGUGUGUUCACAUUUAUUAUUAUUAGUAUUUAUUUGUGUGAGCAAAGUCACAUUGUUUAACUAGAGGAACAGUUGAUUUGAUAUCUACAUUAUACAAAUAUAUAAUAUAUAUAUAUAUAUAAAUAUAAUAUAUUUAUAUCCAGCCUGCAGCUUAGAUCCGCACUAACCUGAACUCAAUAGCUGCAUGGAGCACAAUAUCCUCUCAUUCUGUUUCCUUUCCUAGCUACUUUACUUGUUCGCUUCUAGCUUCCUUAGUUGAAAAAUUUUGCACAAUUUAUUGAAAUGAGUAUUUGUGUAGCAAACCGUUUGGUCGACAUUGGAGUCGUGGUUGUUCCUUUCGUUCGCUCCGCGUGUGCUUUCUCUGCUCCCCUCCCAACCCCUCACAUUGAUCAACUUUUAAGUAUUUUAACAUGAUUUCCGGUGAACAGAGCAGCUCUGAUAGCAGCACGCGACUGGAAAUGCAUUUUUAAAAUAAUGAGCUACAAAUUCAAUUUGCAUACUGUGCAGCCUUUUACCAAAUCUUGUUUUUUCAAUUUGGGGAAAAAACAUGAAGUAAGCUAAGUGCAAAAUGUCUCCUUUACAGACUACAUAAAACCCAUUAAUGUCUUUUUUUUAUCUGCCUGCACCUGGGUGGGCGUCUGGGUGAGAGAGCUGUUUGUGGUCUUGGCAGCUUCCAGCACCCUGCUCUCCUAAUGUCCCGAACUCAAUGGCUGCAUGCUGCUAAAUCAAAUUACAUUUCAUCAGACAAAAGCUUUUUUUAUUUAUUUUUAUUGCCAGACCAGUACAAAUAAGAUUGUUUGAAAAUCUAAUCACAGUAUAAAGGUUUAUUGCUUUCUCAUUUCUGCGUUUUCAUUUGUUGGCUGGUCGCCAGGUGCUGGCAACCGUCCCUGAAUCUUUGCAAAUUAAAAAGUUACUGUGAAGGUGUGAGACUCGCCCCACGAACCAGCUUGUUUCCUGUAAUUAGCUAUUUGUUUGCGUGUUUUAUUCCUCUCUAUUUUUUAUCCGUCUUGCCGUGAAAUGUCCUCCCUCCCGUUUCCUAACUCUCCUCCCAUGAAUACACUUUACUCAAUUCUCUACUAUAUUCACUAUUACUAUCCUUCUCUCUUGCUGUGAAUAAUCUAAAAUAAUAAUCUCACCUGCCCGUCCUCCAUUGCCUUCCUCUCUCAUGGAACAUUUCAUCAGCAGUGUCUUCCCAGUUUGCCUCCUUGCUGUUUUUCAUCGCUGUUGUUUACGUGUAAAACGUUCCUUGGUGAUGACAUCGUUCUCUCUGUUCGGUCGCCUUUGUCUCGCCUGAGGCGGCUGCUCGGCCUCAAACACUUAGUGGAUGUUCACAUUGAGACUCUUAAACUAUCCGUGAGCAUGUGUGUGUGUGUGUGUGUGUGUGUGUGUGUGUGUGUGUGUGUGUGUGUGUGUGUCGGCCACAGUGUAAAAGUAGGAAUGAGAUUUAAUGAAUUCCCUUCAGAUAAGAAACGUAUACUUAAACACCUGCAUAUAUGUGUGCAUGGGGCAAAAGUAGGAUAUAAUCCUGACAUUUAGGGUAAGCGUCCAGGAAACAAUGUCCCCAAAAGUCCUCAAAAUGUGUGUGUGUGUGUUUGCGUGAUGUAUGUAAAGCAAAGGACCACACAAACACAGAAGCAUGCACGACAUACUGCACCGUGCACACCGGCAUGCUGACUCCGUUCCCUAUAAAUAGCAUCAGUAACCCUCGUCAGGGCCUGUGAGGGCGCCACGGAGCGGACCGCCACAGUGCCAACGCCUUCAUCUGGGUAGGUGGCACGACUUGUGUGUGUGUGUGUGUGUGUGUGUCAGCAUAUUGCCUUUGUCCCUCCCCCACGCAGCCCACUCUACCUCACUGCAGCCUCAUGCCAACGCGUGCUGGUCAACAGCUGCGUGCCUGAAGUUACACUCGCAGCGCAGACGAGCCACAGAGGCCGGCAUCCUCGCUGCCAAAUGUGACCGCGUUCAUCUCAUCUGUCUGAACACACAACGUGUGGGUCCGUGCACGCAACCUGGUGUCCUGGUGUCCAGAUGACAAACUGAGAACUGAGCAGCAACAGCUGUCAAAUGUUGAGAUGUUGCUUGUUGUAAUAAUAAUAUAAUAUAGUUAGAUAAUGAAAUUAGAAUACACCGUGAAGCGCCGUACGUCAGGCCGUGGUUUCUAACAAUUCUCGCUUUUGUGUGUGUGUGUGUGUUUGUGUGUGUUUCACUCUUUCCCUCUAUAAGCGAUGAAAGGCCUCUAUCAUUAAUUUUCUUAUAAUGCGCCCAUGGCUUCACAUGUGAACAGAGCUCCAAAGACAUCAAUCUCGGUUUGGAGUGUGUGUGUGUGUGUGUGUGUGUGUGUGUGUGUGUGUGCGUGUGUGCUCGCGGGGUUUUCUGUUUGUGGUUAUUUGUGCGGUUCCCCGCCAGUGCCUGCGCGUGUGUUCCUGCGUCCCACCACGUUGUGCGUUCACCAGCAGCUCUUGGCAGUGUGCGCUUAUUGGAUCGCCGACACACUGCUGUAUUAUUCAUCACCUGAGAGUCCACGUGUUCAUUUUACCAGGUGAUGACGAGCAAGUGUGUGAGUGUGUGUGUGUGUGUGUGUGUGUGUGUGAACAAUCAACAGGUAAGAGGCAGAAUGAGUGUGUGUGUGUGUCCUGUGUCACCUCCUACAACAUUCAAACGAUUCUAUCUAGAAAUAACGUUCUUCAUGGGAGGAGACAGAGACACAGAGACAGAGAGACACAGAGACAGAGAAAAUUCACUGGACCUCGAGCGCCUCCUUCACAGCGUGGCGGUAAUGGUGUGUGUGUGUGUGUAAGGUGCACCUGUAGUGCAGGUGUGUGCUUUGUACUGGGUUGUGUGUGUUUAGUGUGUCCUUCUCUGGUAUCUCAGCAUGCCGUCGUGCUCGUGUCCUUCCUGCCGCACCAACGCUGUGGGACUCUGAGGGGCUUCCACCAACGACCUCUGGACAGAAGCGAUGGGCCGCACUUCCUCGAUGGUGACGAAAGGACCAUUUGUGAGGACGAGGAGCCGCACGAUUGGAAGAUCGAAGCCUGAUGAUUCCUUCGCUUGGUUUCCAGCUGAGGGACGGAGCAGAGAAGAGCUGCUUCCCCCUGACUCGGUCUCAUCCAGAGAGCACGAAUUCGUUUCACGUCGAAGAAAUUCUGCCAUUUCUAUGUGAACGUUUUUAUUUGACUUUCAUUGCUUUAUUUUGCAAAGAACAACGAAAUGAUUUUUGUCCACCCUCCACUGCUUCACGGCUCCGUCUGAAUCCUCAUUUUCUUCAUGUCGUCGCCGUGUCUUCUCCUCCCUCCCUCUCUCCUCUCCCUCCUCUCCGUCCGUCUCUCCCUACAGGCGGCAGAGGCCUCGGUCUUAUGAGAACUCUAGAUCUCCGUCGCAGCUUUGCAACGGCUCAAUAUUGUAUCAUCUAUCACUCUGCAUAGAGCCGCGGGAGCCUCAGCGGACCGGAAACAAGAUUUAUUACAGAGGGCGACGCCCUGCGUGUGCGGCGGAGGGGGGGGCGGGAAGAGGGAGACUGAAAUGUGGCGACGGGAGACGGACGGACAGGUGGAGGAAAGGUGGAGACCGAUCAUUAGAAAGAGAGAUGGAAGCAAAGGAGGAAUGAAUGUGAAAAGAAGGGAAAUAAGCAGAGAGAAAGAGAAGGAUAACGAGCGCGAGUGAUUACGAGUGUGUGUGUGUGUGUGUGUGUUUGUGUGUGUGUGUGUGUGUGUGUGUGUGUGUGCCUUUAGUAAUCAUCCGAGUCAGUGUGACUGAUGACUGAGUGCGGUCGCUGUUUAAACAUUUAGAGUCCUUUAGGACAGAGGGAGUAGGAAGGAGAGGAGGAGAGUGAUGGUGAAGAGAGGAGGAAAAAAAGAUGGCGGCCAAGUUGGGACGCUCCAAUAGAAAAAAAAUGUGUGCGUGUACGUAUAUAUAUAUUUAUAUCUCCAACAGAGCGAUGUAUAUAAACUCACAUGUUGCACGUCGGCCUGUAACGUGUAAAUCAGGCCGGAAUGAAGAAUGAAUGAUCUACUUUUCGUCAGGUCAAGUAUAUUCAUACAUCCUCAUCACAGAUGGGCCUCAAAGGGCUUCGCAAUGUCAACCGCGCGACCCCCCC
ensembl:lncRNA